GUGACAUCGGACAGGUGUUCGGCGAGAGUUCAGUAGACCGCCGCCAGUAGCCCGCGUAAGACAAAAACCGAAAAACGACGACAAAAGGAUGGCGACUCACGGACACUAUAGGUUGUAUCCACAUCGUUCGUGGGACGUUGAUGUCAACAACGACGACGACGGCCACACUAGCCUUUUAGGAACUACUUCGGGAGUGUCCAACCCAACCGCCGCCGCAUCGUCGAACAAGUCGAACAAGUUGUUCAGUUUCUGGAGUGUUUUUCUCGUGUUGUUGAUAGCCGGCGUUCUGUUUUUAGUGGGGUUCUUCCUGGGAUAUUUCGUGAGGGAGAGUUUCGAGGAUCGAGAGAACAUCACCGCAGAGUACAGGCGUUACCAGUUCGAUGAAGCCAAACUGGAAGCUAUCCAUGAAAAUGUUAUGUACUUCAUAUCCAGAGAUCCUGACAGAAUUAAAACUUUUUCCAGGGAGUUUGGCACGGCCGACCCUCUCACUAACAGUGUUUUGGAGAAGAAACUGGAGCACACCGUCUAUCAACAGCUGGUCAACUACAACUUCGACAGCGUCGACAUAGAGGACUACAACGUUGUUGUCACCUACCCAGAUCCCAACCGCCCGAAUCGUCUGGAGGUGCUCGAUCAGUCCGGAUCCGUGCUGGCCAAUUUCACACUGAAGAACGCUGUUACAAGGGGACAUAAUCCUGUUAUCAAGACUGUAGGUGUGAAGAGCCAUUAUGCAAAGUAUCCCUAUGUGGCAUUCUCUAAAGCAGGAUCGGCAGAGGGUGGCUUGCUGUUUGGUCACUAUGGGCGACAGGCUGACCUGCUGGAACUGAAGCAUCAUGGGAUUGAUGUCACUGAUCAUCUGUUGUUGCUCCGACUGGGAGAGAUCUCCGUUGAUGAAAAGGUAUCCGUAGCAGAAAAAGCUGGAGCAGGUGGAGUGUUGUUGUAUUGGGAUCCAUCAGAAGGCAACACUGACGUUCCACACAACAGGUCUCACAUACCGUACGCUUCUGCCAGACCGGAGACCGGAAAUGAUCUGCACAACAUACCUGUACAGACUGUGUCGGCCAACAUGGCUGCCUGGCUGUUUGGACACAUGGGAGGGGAGUCGGCCCCACAACACUGGAUGGGUGGACUGAACGUCGUGUACAUGCUCGGACGUCCAAGUAACGAAACAAAAAAUUUCAAGCUGACAUCAUACAACAAAGAAGAGGAACAGUCAGUACGGAAUGUCAUUGGCAGUAUCCAUGGUUACCUGGAACCAGAUCGCUAUAUAUUGAUUGGAGCGCCGAGAUCUGGUUUCCCAGGCUCGUCUAACGAUGCGGUCCUGGCGACGUCGAUGUUGUUACAGCUAGCCCGCAGUCUGGAGUAUGUGUACAACCUGGAGAACUGGAAACCACGGCGGGGGAUCAAGCUCGUCUCCUGGGGGGGACAUGAGUUCUCACAGGCCGGGAAAACAGAGUAUAUCAAGGCAAAUUCUCACCUCCUUGACAGAAGAGCUAUUGCCUACUUUGACCUGAGCCAGAUGACCCUGGGUAAUCACUCGGUGAGAGCGGAGGCAUCCCCUGGGUUUUACACCAUGAUCAGACAGGCGGCGGCAAGAGUACCAGAUCCUACAAAGACUGAGUCGACAAUUGCUGAUGCGUGGCCUUCACCAGUGGACCUGAAGAAUAUUCAGAAUGGUGAUGCGCCAGUUUACACGUUUCAAAGACACACACAGAGCAAUCCCUUCCUGCAGCUUGUAGGAAUUCCAGAACUCCACGUGCAGUAUGUGGGAAAUCAUACACCUUCCGGUUCCAGCGUGACAAACAUGGCCACCCUGGAUGUACACCAUCACUUUAAAUACCACAUAGCCGUGACUAGAGUUAUCACUCUUGCUGCACUCCACCUGGUGGACGAUGCCGUUUUGCCGAUCUCUCUCAGAGACUACGCGGAAGACCUUCACCUGGUGAUGUGGCAAACAUCAGGCGAGCUGAAGCACUGCUCGACACAGAUGGAGGACUUAGAAUCAGAGGUGUCAGCUGCCGAAGAUUUGCUGAAGAUAGCCACUGCGUUUGACGAUUUCAUCAAAAUCUACGAAGAGAAUUCCGACAAGCUGGGAAUUCACUCAACAAACGAAGUCAAAAUGAUGUUUGAACGAAUCUUCAUCACUGCUUCACGUCAUAAAAGGCAUCACUUACUCUACCCUCAAGUGUUUGAUGGAAGAAUCACGACCUUGUCCGAGUUGUGUCACGUGGCGAGGUUUACCAAUGACUGGGUCGCCGUUCACAGUUAUAUCUCCGCUUUGAAGACCGCAUUACAAGAAGCAGCACGGUGCUUGAGAACUAAUGAAUGAACAAAGUCGACAAUUACAAUGAGUGUUUUAAAUUGUAAUAACCGUUCAUUGAUGAGAGCAGAGCAGCUUUCAGAGUUACAUUACUAGAUGCAUUGCAAUGAUUGAGAACCAACGAAUGAACAAAGUCGACAAUUACAAUAAGUGUUUUAAAUUGUAAUAAUCAUUCACUGAUAAGAGUAGGAGUUACAUUACUAGAUGCAAUGCAGUGAUUGAGAACUAACGAAUGAACAAAGUCGACAAUUAUGCGGAGUGUUGUAAAUUGUAAUAACUGUUCGUUGGUGAUACCAGUUUUCAGAAUUACAUUGCAAGAUGCAAUGCAAUGUUUGAGAACUAACGAAAAGUCGAGUGUUUUAAAUUGUAAUAAUCAUCUGUGGGUGAGACCAGUUUUGAGAGUUACAUUACAAGAUGCAGUGCAAUGUUUGAGAACUAACGAAAGAAGAACAUUUGGAGUUACGUUGAGUGAUAAAUUGUAAUAAUGUGUUGUUGCUGAGAGCAGUUUUGAGAGUUACAUUACAAGAUGCAAUGCAAUGUUUGAGAACUAACGAAUGAACAAAGUCGGGAAUUAUGCGGAGUGUUAAAUUGUAAUAAUCGUUCACUUAUGAGAGCAGUUUUCAGAGUUACAUUACAAGAUGUAAUGCAAUGAUUGAGAACUAACGAAAAGUCGAGAAUUACAGUGAGUGUUUUAAAUUGUAAUAAUCGUUCACUGAUGAGAGCAGUUUUCAGAAUUACAUUACAAGAUGCAAUGUAGUGAUUGAGAACUAACGGAUGAACAAAGUCGAGAAUUACAAUGAGUGUUUUAAAUUGUAAUAACUGUUCGUUGGUGAGAGCAGUUUUCAGAGUUACAUUACAAGAUGCAAUGCAGUGAUUGAGAACUAACGAAAAACAAAGUCGAGAAUUAUGCUGAGUGUUUUAAAUUGUAAUAAUCGUUCGUUGGUGAGAGCAGUGUUCAGAAUUACAUUACAAGAUGCAAUGCAAUGUUUGAGAACUAACGAAAAGUCGAGUGUUUUAAAUUGUAAUAAUCAUCUGUGGGUGAGACCAGUUUUGAGAGUUACAUUACAAGAUGCAGUGCAAUGUUUGAGAACUAACGAAAGAAGAACAUUUGGAGUUACGUUGAGUGAUAAACUGUAAUAAUGUGUUGUUGCUGAAAGCAGUUUUCAGAAUUUCAUUACAAGAUGCAAUGCAGUGUUUGAGAACUAAUGAAUGAACAAAGUCAUGAAUUAUUUUGAGUGUUAAAUUGUAGUAAUUUGUCGCUGAUGAUAGCAGUUUCAGAAUCACAUUACAAGAUGCAAUGCAGUGAUUGAGAACUAACGAAUGAACAAAGUCAUGCAUUACAAGAUACAAUGUUAUGUUAGAACUAAUGAAGGAAAACACGUGGAGAUAUGUUGAGUGAUAAAUUGUAAUAAUUUGUCGAUGGUGAUGGAUUACAUUGCAAGAAGCAAUUCAGUGUUUGAAAACAAAUGAAUGAACAACAUAUGGAUUAUGUUGAGGGAUAAAUUGUAAUAACCAAUCAUUUAACUUGGCGAUACCAGUUUUCAGAACUAUAUUACAAGAUGCAGUGCAAUGUUUGAGAACUAAUGAUUGAACAACAUCUGGUUAUGUUGAGUGUGGAGUGGAGCGGAUAAGUUUUAAUGUGCAUAUGUAUGUGCCACUAGAGCUUCACACAUGCUUGUCAUGGGCUUAAUCUCUCUUAUGUUGAGUGACAAAUUGUAAUAACUGUUCGCUGGUGAUAGCAGUUUGUUUCUGAGAAUUGCAUUACAUGGUGCAAUGUGAUGUUUGAGAAUGAAACAACUCUGAAGUUACGUUGAGUGGUAAAAUGCAAUAACCGGUGACUAGUGAGAGGAAUAUUGACGUCUGUCUUACAGUUAGCACUGUGACCAUCAAAUCUGGUUAGGACUCGAUUCAGAAGUGGGAGUUCCGUGUUCAACUGACUGAGCUAAUACAUAUAAGCAUGCACGCACAGACAGAGAGACAGAGAGAGAGAGAGAGAUGCAAUUUCAUGCAUCCUACAAAUAAAGGAGCAGGACGUAGCCCAGUGCUCCACAACUGGUGUAACAAAGGCUGUGGUAUGUACUAUCCUGUCUGUGGCAUAUAAAAGAUCCCUUGCUGCUAAUCGA
rnacentral:misc_RNA from 1 species